UACAGAGGGUGCAAGCGUUGUUCGGAAUUACUGGGCGUAAAGCGCGUGUAGGCGGUUUCGCAAGUCAGACGUGAAAUCCCUCAGCUUAACUGAGGAACUGCGUCUGAUACUGCUAGACUAGAGUGUCGGAGGGGAUGGUGGAAUUCCCGGUGUAGUGGUGAAAUGCGUAGAUAUCGGGAGGAACACCAGUGGCGAAGGCGACUACCUGGCCUGUUCUUGACGCUGAGGCGCGAAAGCUAGGGGAGCAAACGGG
rnacentral:rRNA from 1 species